rnacentral:rRNA from 1 species
UACGUAGGGGUCGAGCGUUGUCCGGAGUUACUGGGCGUAAAGCGUGCGCAGGCGGCUUGUUGCGCCCGGCGUGAAAGCCCCCGGCUCAACCGGGGAGGGUCGUCGGGGACGGGCAAGCUUGAGGGUAUCAGGGGCUGGUGGAAUUCCCGGUGUAGUGGUGAAAUGCGUAGAGAUCGGGAGGAACACCCGUGGCGAAGGCGGCCAGCUGGGAUACACCUGACGCUGAGCCACGAAGGCGUGGGGAGCGAACGGG